rnacentral:piRNA from 1 species
UGAAAUCAGUACAUAAUUCUUCGGUAAGC